GCUCCCCUCGUUGAAAUUCAAACCCAAGCAACUUGAUGGGGGAACAGACAUAAAAAUAUUAAUUUGGUGGAUAUUAAAAAAAAUCACACUGGUUAUAAAUCAGGGGCUGUCCACUGGUUCCUUUCAUCAUCUAAAUGGUCCUUCUAACCAGACCACAAAUCUUCCUGGGGAGGAGGAGGGGUUUGGAAGGUGGGUCCCUUCCUGAGGUUUCGGAGACAGCUCACAUCCAACACUUCCUCAAACCUGGCUUUGUUUUCUAAAGGUAAUAAAAAGUGAGUACUUCUGGUACAGGGAGGCUAAUUAACUGGCCUCACAGAACAGACUUGGGGCUUAAAAGAAAGUUGGCUUGGUCUAAAAGAAAUUAGGUUGUGGAAAUGUCUGAAUGUUGAUUAAAAAUAUGAUUUGGGAGGCUUCAGAUGAGCACUGUGCUUCUCCAAGGAACAGGGGGGCCUGUUUUGUUACGAUGGUGGUGUAAGGAGAACAGAUGAAGUGGGGUUGGUGUGACAACAACCAGGAGCAGCACACACAGCAUGUGUGUACCUGUAAUUGAGCUGGAGAACCGAGACAGCCCGUCUGUGUCUCCUGUGCCAGCCCUUGGGUUUUAAUAGGGAGCCAUAACAAGAUAUAACCGAGGGAGGGAGGGCAGUUCCAUUCCUGUUGGGUAGAAUUAAGAAAAAAUGGCCAAGAAUUUCCCUCCUGUAAUGAUAUUUUAAUGAACUCUUUCAUUUCCAUCUUACAACUGAUCCUUACAGUUAAAAGACUCUUGAUAGGUACUUUAAACUUUCAUGAAAACUCUGGGAAUUGAUUUUUAACAACUGCAAGUGGUUGAAAGGCUAAAUACUUCUAUAAGAGGAUGCUAAUAAAAGGGAAAGUAAGUUGUCCCUCUCACCAAUAUCCAUAUAUGCAAAAGUGUUUGUAGUCAUGGUGGGAAAUUCAUUAGCAUUUUAGAAGUUCAAGGCUCUAUUUAAUGGUACAGAAUCUAAUAAAGUAAAUGAACCCCAAACUCAAUCCAGUCAGGCUCACGGUGAACAUGUGUGUUAUAAUGAAGGUCCAACACAGCUGGAUCUUGAGGUGAAAGAGAGAGAAAAUCCAGUAGCUGGGAAGGGGCAACCUGGUUUUCUAUAAAAAUCAAAGCAAAUUCUUG
rnacentral:lncRNA from 1 species